AAUCAGUUCGAGCCGCUCUGUUUUUAGACUUAAGAAAGCUUACAAAAAGGGAAAAUAAGGAAAAAUUCUAAAUAUUGGGUUUCAUAAUCAUCAUUGUCAAGACGUCAGAAAACAAAAAUCCCAAGCAGCUACUGGGAUCAAUAUAGGUGAAUUUUUAAAUUAUUCCAAACCCAAACACUGCAAGCAGCAAUAUUCCAAAUUUUGUUGUCUGUCUCUUUUCCAAAAUUUUCCUGGAAACCAAACAGGGGUUCAAGUUAACUCAAAUUUGUAUAAUAAAGAAAUAUAAACUGACCUUCCACAGGGAUGAUUUGGGCUUCCUCCGAGUCCCCCAUUUGGGAGGUUUUUAAAUUGAACUCCCAGAUAAGAGAAUAAAAGCUACAAAAUCAAACACAAAACAUCUUCUGCGACCUUGCGAAGGAAAAGGAAUCUCGAGAGAUUGAAGGAGAAGAGACUGGAGGGAAUGGGUAUACUUAAAAAUGGUAUUUCUUCAGAGAUGGAUAUUCUCAACGGAGCAGAGGAAGCGAAAUUAAACCAUCGCUGAGAUGAUUGGAAUAUAUGCUAUAUUUAUACACCUCCAUCAACAUCCAACGCUACACCAAUUACGCCCUCCAAUCUCAGCCGUCCAUUUUGAUUUCUCGAUUACUGGCGUGACUAACGGUACUGUAUCAAGGCUUUUAACUAACCAACCAACCCACCGUUCUCCUCCUAAAAACCAAAAUAAAAACUCCUAUUUCAUAAGGUCAUUUUUGGAACUCCACAAAAUUUUGAGUUCUGA
rnacentral:lncRNA from 1 species